GUAGUCACUUGGGCAGCACAUAUACUAAAAUUGGAACCAUACAGAGAAGAUUAGCAUGGCCCCUGGGAACGGAUGGCAUGAAAAUGCAUGAAGCACUCCAUAUUAAA
ensembl:snRNA U6 U6 spliceosomal RNA